UAUAAUGUUUGACUCUUCGUCUUAUUUAAAUUUUUUUGUGAUUAAUGUUUUUAUUAUUAUUAGAUGAUAAAACAUAAAUAAUACUUUAUGCGUGACUAAUUUGUUAAAGUUUUCUAUAUUUUUUAAUAUGACGGAUGGUCAAACGUUGAACAC
rnacentral:pre_miRNA from 1 species